rnacentral:misc_RNA from 1 species
UAAUAAGUGUUUUAUGGCACUUUUUAAAUCCAUAUCCACCUUGUGUGCAAUGUCAGUCGAUCUUCUUCAUGGAGAUCGACCAAACAUCAACCUUUAUCUUUUAACUCUUUGUCUUAAAAAUAUUAUGAAUAAACAAUUCAAAAUAC